rnacentral:siRNA from 1 species
UAGUUAAAUCCGCAGCUUGGGCA